GAAGCUGGAAAACCCCUCUGCAAGGUUGCAUGCCCGGGGUUUGGUCGGCUGCUGGAGGAAGGGAUAUUUUUUUUGCUUUUUUCCAGGGAGCUCAGAGCCUUUCUUGUCUGCGAUUCGUGGGGGGGAACCUUUGCAAAUCCCUCUGCUAGAAGAGCAGUAGUGUUUGCAGUGGGGUUUGCACCCCAUCCCUGGCAGCUGGAUUUUCUGAAAAGGCAUCAAACUUUAGGAUGGAUGAACAUUCAUAAAGGAAAAAUAUGGAAAGUGAAAAAUCACCAUAAACUGCUGGCAGACAAAUAAGAAUUAUUUUAUUGAGAAUAAAAGAAUAUUAUUUUUGCAUUAUACAACCUACCAAGAA